rnacentral:rRNA from 1 species
UACGUAGGGUGCAAGCGUUGUCCGGAAUUAUUGGGCGUAAAGAGCUCGUAGGCGGCUUGUCACGUCUGCUGUGAAAUCCCGGGGCUCAACCCCGGGCGUGCAGUGGAUACGGGCUGGCUAGAGGCAGGCAGGGGAGAACGGAAUUCCCGGUGUAGCGGUGAAAUGCGCAGAUAUCAGGAGGAACACCGAUGGCGAAGGCAGGUCUCUGGGCCGAUACUGACGCUGAGGAGCGAAAGCGUGGGGAGCGAACAGG